rnacentral:rRNA from 1 species
CAGCCGCCGCGGGAAUACGAAGGGUGCAAGCGUUACUCGGAAUUACUGGGCGUAAAGCGUGCGUAGGCGGUGAGUUAAGUCUGCUGUGAAAUCCCCGGGCUCAACCUGGGAAUGGCAGUGGAUACUGGCUCGCUAGAGUGUGUCAGAGGAUGGUGGAAUUCCCGGUGUAGCGGCGAAAUGCGUAGAGAUCGGGAGGAACAUCAGUGGCGAAGGCGGCCAUCUGGGACAACACUGACGCUGAGGCACGAAAGCGUGGGGAGCAAACAGGAUUAGAUACCCCAGUAGUCCCUGUCUCUUAUAC